UAAGGAAUAUUGCGCAAUGGGGGAAACCCUGACGCAGCAACGCCGCGUGGAGGAUGACACUUUUCGGAGCGUAAACUCCUUUUAUCAGGAAAGAAUAAUGACGGUACCUGAUGAAUAAGCACCGGCUAACUCCGUGCCAGCAGCCGCGGUAAUACGGGGGGUGCAAGCGUUACUCGGAAUCACUGGGCGUAAAGGACGCGUAGGCGGAUUAUCAAGUCUUUUGUGAAAUCUAGUGGCUUAACCACUAAACUGCUUAGGAAACUGAUAGUCUAGAGUAGGGGAGAGGUGGAUGGAAUUCUUGGUGUAGGGGUAAAAUCCGUAGAGAUCAAGAAGAAUACCCAUUGCGAAAGCGAUCUGCUGGAACCUAACUGACGCUGAGGCGUGAAAGCGUGGGUAGCAAACAGG
rnacentral:rRNA from 1 species